rnacentral:rRNA from 1 species
CCGACGGUGAGAGGUGAAAGCUGGGGGAGCAAACCGGAUUAGAUACCUGGGUAGUCCCAGCCGUAAACGAUGUGCGUUAGGUGUAUCGGUGACCACGAGUCACCGAGGUGCCGAAGAGAAAUCGUGAAACGUACCGCCUGGGAAGUACGGUCGCAAGGCUGAAACUUAAAGGAAUUGGCGGGGGAGCACCACAACAGGUGGAGCCUGCGGUUUAAUCGGACUCAACGCCGGGAAACUCACCAGAUAA